AACCUGGUUGAUCCUGCCAGUAGUCAUACGCUUGUCUCAAAGAUUAAGCCAUGCAUGUGUAAGCACACACUGUUUUAAAAGUGAAGCCGCGAAUGGCUCAUUACAACAGCCACAGUUUAUUAGAACUUACAAUCAUGGAUAACUGUGGUAAUUCUAGAGCUAAUACACGCACAAAAACUUCAACUGAAUUGGUUGAAGUGCUUUUAUUAGAACAAAAACCGAACGGCGUUUGACGAAUGUUGAACGUCGAAACUGUUUGGUGAAUCUGAAUAACUAUUUCUGAUCGCAUGGUCUAGCACCGGCGACAUCACUUUCAAGUGUCUGCCUUAUCAACCUUCGAUGGUAGUCUAUGCGACUACCAUGGUGAUAACGGGUAACGGAGAAUCAGGGUUCGACUCCGGAGAGGGAGCCUGAGAAACGGCUACCACAUCCAAGGAAGGCAGCAGGCGCGCAAAUUACCCACUCCCAGCUUGGGGAGGUAGUGACGAAAAAUAACGAGACGAUUCUCGUUUGAGAAACGUUAUCGAAAUGAGUACGCUUUACACACGCUAACGAGUAGCAAUUGGAGGGCAAGUCUGGUGCCAGCAGCCGCGGUAAUUCCAGCUCCAAUAGCGUAUAUUAAAGUUGCUGCGGUUAAAACGCUCGUAGUUGAAUUGUGGUCUUAGACAACAGUCCCCCUACAUAGGUGUGGCACGGUUGCUCGAGAUCUUCAUUCGUGGUUGCUGUUGUUGCUCUUCAUUGAGUGUCAAUGGUGCCUCGAGAUCUUACUUUGAAAAAAUUAGAGUGCUCAAAGCAGGUUGUGAUGCCUGAAUAAUGGUGCAUGGAAUAAUAGAAUACGAUCUCGGUUCUAUUUUGUUGGUUUUCGAACCGGAGAUAAUGAUUGAAAGGAACAGACGGGGGCAUUCGUAUUGCUGCGUUAGAGGUGAAAUUCUUGGAUCGCAGCAAGAUGAACAAUUGCGAAAGCAUUUGCCAAGAAUGUUUUCAUUAAUCAAGAACGAAAGUUAGAGGUUCGAAGGCGAUCAGAUACCGCCCUAGUUCUAACGGUAAACUAUGCCAACCAGCGAUUCGCCGAAGUUCAUUUAAGACUCGGCGAGCAGCUUCCGGGAAACCAAAGUGUUUCGGUUCCGGGGGAAGUAUGGUUGCAAAGCUGAAACUUAAAGGAAUUGACGGAAGGGCACCACCAGGAGUGGAGCCUGCGGCUUAAUUUGACUCAACACGGGAAAACUCACCCGGCCCGGACACUGGAAGGAUUGACAGAUUGACAGCUCUUUCUUGAUUCAGUGGGUAGUGGUGCAUGGCCGUUCUUAGUUGGUGGAGCGAUUUGUCUGGUUAAUUCCGAUAACGAACGAGACUCUACCCUAUUAAAUAGUGACAGUAUUGUAUUUUUUGUGCUGAUCACUUCUUAGAGGGACUGGCAAAUUGAAAGCUGCACGAAAAAGAGCAAUAACAGGUCUGUGAUGCCCUUCGAUGUCCGGGGCUGCACGCGCGCUACAAUGAAAGCGUCAACGUGAGUUACGUCCUUACCUGAAAAGGUUUGGUAAUCGAAUGAAACGUUUUCUUGAAUGGAAUAGGGAAUUGCAAUUGUUUCCCUUGAACGAGGAAUUCCCAGUAAGCGUGAGUCAUUAGCUCGCGUUGAUUACGUCCCUGCCCUUUGUACACACCGCCCGUCGCUACUACCGAUUGGAUGAUUUAGUGAGGUGUUUUGACUGGCGCCAGUAGUCGGAUGUAUUCGGCUUCGCGCCGGGAAAUUUCCCAAACCAAAUCAUCUAGAGGAAGUAAAAGUCGUAACGAGGUUUCCGUAGGUGAACUUGCGGAAGGAUCAUUA
rnacentral:rRNA from 1 species